rnacentral:rRNA from 1 species
AUCCAAAGGCUUUUUGUUUUUGGUGAGAGUGGCGAACGGGUGAGUAACACGUGAGUAACCUGCCCCCUUCUUUUGGAUAACCGCAUGAAAGUGUGGCUAAUACAGGAUAAUCCAGGCUGGUCGCAUGAUUGGUUUGGGAAAUGCUUUGUUGUGGUGGGGGAUGGGCUCGCGGCCUAUCAGCUUGUUGGUGGGGUGAUGGCCUACCAAGGCGGUGACGGGUAGCCGGCCUGAGAGGGUGGGCGGUCACACUGGGACUGAGAUACGGCCCAGACUCCUACGGGAGGCAGCAGUGGGGGAUUUUGCACAAUGGGCGCAAGCCUGAUGCAGCGACGCCGCGUGAGGGAUGAAGGCCUUCGGGUUGUAAACCUCUUUCGCUGGGUUGAAAGGCCAUGCUUUGGGUGUGGUUGAUUUGAACUGGUAAAGAAGUACCGGCUAACUACGUGCCAGCA